ACUUUCAAUGCAGUGGUCAUGAUUUCCGCUUGUCAAGAUUCCCUCGAACCUACAAGCGCGGGAGACCGGGGUUCGAUUCCCCGAGGGAGAG